GCCCCGCGCCCUCUCCCAGCGUCCCCCGGGCCCGGGAAGUCCCGGUACCGCCCCCGCCACGUGCGCCGGCCCGGCCUGGCUGCCUCCUCCGGAAACGUUCCCCCAUCCUCGCCCGGCGCCUCACUCACCAAGGGUCGCGCCGGGGUUCCGCACUGUCAUUGCGGUGCGGCUCCCCGCCUUAGGAAUUCUCACACGGUUCCAAGGUUCCGGGCCCGGCAGUAACGCAGCCAUCUUGCGAGGCGGGUAGAUCUAGGAAAGGCGGAGCUACGCGAGAGCACGUCUAGCGACCGGAGUGAGAAGCCACGCGGAGGAAGCUACUAGGUUGCAGCCCUCCUCUGCAAACCAAGAUCCACAACCUCAGACAGAAUAGAGACGAAUCGCCUUAUCCCUGGCAGAAGAUUUUCAGAUAAUUGGAGACACGUCUCACAGGCAAAAUGCACAUGAUGUCAAGGCUUGCCCCCCGAAGAAGGAGUCAGUGGUGGUUUUGAACAGGAAUGGCAUCACUUAAAUGUAUUUUCAAGGAGCAGAGUCAUCUGAUGCUAAGAACGGCUAGACUGAAAAAAAAAGAAAAAGAAAAGAAAAAAAGUUGAUAGUUACCUCCUGAGAGUUGGGCAAUGAUCAGUAAGAUCCUUCUACUGUGGCUGCCAGCAAGUCCGUGCCUGAUUUGAUGAGAUUCUGAAAAGGACUACUACAUUCUAGCCAAAGGUUUCUGAACCUUGGCACUAUUGACAUUUUAAAGGGGAGAAUUCUUUGUCGUUUGGGAGAAUCCUGUGCAUUGUAGGAUAUUUAGUGGCAUCUCCGACCUCUACCCACUGGAUACCAGCAGAACAUCCCCUCCCCGUGCAAGAGUGUGACAAUUAAAAAAUGUCUGUAGGAAUUGUCAAAUGUACCCUGGGUGGCAAAAUCGCCCCCAUGAAGAACCAUUGGGGGCAAAAUCACCAGCACUGAGGACCACUGCUCUGGCCCACGAGACAGCUUUUCCAGGAAUACCUAUUGUCACAUUGUUCUCCUUCAGUCUGGAACAGUUCCUCCUUCUUUCUCUGGCUCUGGAUCUGCGUCCCUGACAGUCUUAAAGAGGACAGAACUUUCAUUUAUGAGGGUGACCCUCAACUUGGCUCAGUCAAUGUUUCCUCAGACUCAAGCCUUGCAUUCCUGGCAGAAAGACUGAAGAAAUGACGCUGUGCUCUUCUCAGUGCUUCACGUCAGGAGGCUCUACUCUCUCAACUGGCCCCCACUAUUGGUGCCGUGUUUUGGAGUAGUGUGUCUGGUACCUGUCACCUUUAACCAACAAUUACUGAGCACCUACUGGGUGCCAGAUACUCCGCCAGGCUCUGAGAGGACAGAAAUGCGUAACACACAAUUCCUGCUCUCAAGGAGGCCUUUCAAGAAGAAGAGAGUAGAAAAAAUUCACACAUUUCCCCCAUCCCAAAAUGACAUCGAUCUGAAGAAAGGAAAAGAAAAAGGCUUCUGCUGAUAGUUGUUCUUCAGCUGAGUUCAAGACGGCCAAAUGAAUUUUUCAGAAAGACCACAGCUGGCUUGUCAGGACCCAGGCACUUAUUGAGCACCCGCUGUGAGAAGUACUGUGCCAUUUGCUGUGAGACUUGCCAAGAUUUCUAAAAGGUGGGCCUUUAUUUCUCCCCCUUCAGAAGCUUUCCAUCCAAUGGGGGCACUAUCUGAUCAUUCAUUAAAGCACACACGAGUCACCCACAAUGAAAGAUAUCGUGGGAUAAAUGCUUUGGGAAUGGUACUGAAGACAGGUGCUAUAAGAACCCAGAGGAAUGUGUGUUCACUUUGGGCUGAAAAGGCAUCAAAGAAGAUCAGUGGAGGAGGGAGUGGUGCGCUAGGAAUCAUACAGCAAAUAUCCAGUGGCAAGAAAAGGCACAGCAUAUUGGGAGUUUCAAGAAGACUGGUUUACCUGCAGAGGAUUCUCAUGGUAAGGUGGAUUGAAAUAAAAUUAGAAGCCAAGAGUCUGAUUGUAUAGAGGCUUGAAUGCCAAGUUCAGUUUACUUACACACAUAUAGAUGAGGAAGUGGGAGGGAGGUAGCUCCCAAGGUCUCAGAAAUCCAGGUGAUAGGACUGAAAUUAUAACAUAGAAUGGUUCUUUACUUUCAGAAUGGUUUCUAGGCCAGUAAGCCAUUAAUACACUCAAAGAAAAUAAAUUCAUAUGGAAUCUGCCACAGUUGUAGAAAGGAUAUAACCUCAAAAUAAAGGGUAGCCCUUUAAGUUGAAUCCAUUAAGAAAAGUUAAAUUAUGCUUAUUUUUUUUCACCAUGACCUAGUAAAAAUUCUAUCGCAACCACUGAUGUAGCUAAAUCCCCUUUAUUUCAACUCCAAGCUCCUCAAGGAACCUUGUUAAUAUCAGAUGGGGCUAUAGGAGAAGACAUAAGAGGCUCCCUUAGUGCAUUAGCUGCUACCCUGGUCUUGCACUUUGGUCUCUUGAGAACCUUGCUAGCAUGAAUAAGCGUCCUCAAGUGGGAUCAGCUCUUGAGACACUGGCUAAGUUACAUUUCUUUUUUCUUUUUCUUUCUUUUUUUUUUUUUUAAGAGACAGGAAGUCACUAUGUUGCCCAGGCUGGUCUCAAACUCCUGGGCUCUAGCAAUAUUCCCAUCUCAUCCUCCCAAAGUAAUGGGAUUACAGACGUGAGCCACCAUGCCUGGCUCAACCAAGUCACAUUUCUGAAUCUUCAAGUUUAAGACUAAAAACCCUGGACUUGCCUUUGUGAACCCACCAAAUGGCUCUUUCCAGACUCUGAUUGGGGCAGUUUACCAGCUUUCCCUCUAGGCCUCCUUAAAAAGCACCCAAUCAUUCAAAAUACACACAGUUCUGGGUGAUGGAAAAGUUUAAUUAAUAGACUUAGGUGGCUUGCAUAUGUAAAUCACCAAGAACUAAAUAUAAUUAAAAACUUUACACUAAAAAACCCUAAAUAUUCAUACAUUUUUUGAUGAUUCAAGAAUUAUAUCACCCAAAGACAUAACCAGAAUAUAUCAGAACUCUCAAAACACAACAGAAAACAAACAACCCAAUGUAAAAAAUGUAAUUAAAAAGGCACUUAGUGAAAAAGGAUAGCUAGAUGAUAAGUAAGUACACAAAAAGUUUUCAACAAUUAUUCAUCAUUAGGGAAAUGUCCAUUAAAACUACAAUGUGUUACCACUGUACAUAAAAUAAAAAAUACUGACAAUACCAAGUGCUGACAAGGAUGCAGAGCAACUGGAAAUCUCAUGCACUGCACAUAUGAAUGCAAAGUAGUAAAGCCACUCUGGACCAUGGUUUGGCAAUUCCCUACAAAGUUAAACAUGCAGAAACCAUGUGACCCAAUAAUCCCAUCCCUCAGGUUUUUACUCUAGAGAAAUGAAAGCUUAUGCUCACCCAAAAACCUGUACAAGUAUGUUUAUAGCAGCUCUAGUCAGAAUCACCAAAAACUUGAAACCAGCCACCCAACUGUCCUUAAAUAAGUAAAUGGGUAACAAAAGCCACCUCAGAAUCUUACAGUAUUUGGGGGGAACAUUAUGACCAAUUAGCAUCACGAGGUGGUCCCAUAGAAGGAAAAUGGUCAUAUUUUUCUUCUACUUAAGAUUCCAGAUAAAGUGAGGAUUCCAGAUAAAGUAGGCUCCUUAUGUUUAUAAGAAAAUGUGUAAACAUUAGCCACACUGUGAGUUAUGAGUGUUUGUGUUGCAGCUAAAUGCACAAGCAUUGAGUAUGAAAUGCAGGUUUUGAAAGAGCAGCAGAACAAAGCACGUGAGUAGGAGAAGCAAGAGAAAGGCUGCAUGCAGAAUAAAUAAAAGCAUCUCUGUUCAUCAGUGUUGACUUCAACCUCAGAACCGGGCUGUCUUCGGCUGUCCUACACGCUAAGGGACAUAACUCAGCACAACCAAUCCUGUGAUACGUCAGCCACUGCAUCUAUAAACCAGUGACCACUUCUGAAGCAGUAAAAGUUAUUUUGCUGCAAAUCUAUCUCCAGGAUCCUAAAUGUGUUUAAUCAGGGGUGAGCCAUUAACUGAAUUAAAUGAGACACACGUUUACCAGCAGGUGGCAAUAGAGGUAAUGGUGUCUCCCAAAACGUUAAACUUGCAUUAUUUUAUAUGCCAGAAAUGGGAACCUUCAAAACUUGAUUGGUUCCCAACUUAACUUCACUCUAUCUUAUAUUUGCAUUCGGAGAUGAAAUUAUUCAAGCCAAGAUAUUGUCAUCAGAAACAUAAAUUUUUAUUUUAUUAAGCCGAUAUUGUGCUUCAUUUUCUAAGGGUGGCUCCUCCAGGAGUUUGAUAUUUUUAACUGAAAAAUUGGAAAAAUAAAACAUUAUUAUAGUC